rnacentral:rRNA from 1 species
CAGCGCCACGAGUGGGGACCACGAUUAUUGGGCCUAAAGCGUCCGUAGCCGGUUUGGUAAGUCUUUUGUGAAAUCGUUGCGCUUAACGUAACGACGUGCAAAAGAGACUGUCAGACUUGGAACCGGGAAGAGUUAGAGGUAUUUCAGGGGGAGCGGUAAAAUGUGAUAAUCCCUGGAGGACCACCUGUGGCGAAAGCGUCUAACUAGAACGGAUUCGACGGUGAGGGACGAAAGCUAGGGGAGCAAUCCGGAUUAGAUACCCGAGUAGUCC